ACAUCCACCUCUCGUCCUGGUUCCACCUCCAUCAUUCUUCCUCCAUCACUCUCUCCUCCUGUUCUCUCUGUGUUGUCAUGUGUUGGAUCAGUGUGUGUUGUGGUUCUACUGGUGUUACUGGUUGUGCUGGUGAGACAAUAUGUUCACAGGAAACCUGAAGCUGAACAGGAGACGGCUUCAGAAGAUAACAUCACAUAUAGUGAUGUCAAAAUAUCCAAUUGCCAACAACAGAUUGCCCAACAAAACAGAGAGAGUGAUCCGGCUGCAGUCUCUCCAGCAGUGAGAACAGACUACGUCACUUAUGGGCAAAUCAUCAUCAAAGACAAGAAAAAAAAGUCAGAGAGUGAUCCAGCUGCAGUGUACUCAGGAGUGAGAACAGAAGACAUCAAUUAUGGACAAAUAGCCUUCAGACCAAAGAGGAAAAAAGACUUUAAACCAGAGCCAGACGUCGUCUACUCUUCACUGAAGUAGUCCACCAGUCCAACCACUGACGUCCAGCUGCUGGUCUCUAACUGGUCCACCCAUCACCACCACAGACACAUCCAUAUGUUGAAAAGAUUUCUUUUUGAUGUUUUGUGUCUUUUAUUUGACUUAUUACAUCCUCCUCCACUUACAAAUUCAGGGUUGCAGUGGGGCUGGAGCCUAUCCCAGCUGCUGUAGGACAAGACUCAGGGUACACCUUCAGCAGGUCCCCAGUCUUGCAGGGCUAACACAGAGAGAAUUCACACCUACGGCAAUUUAGAAUAAUCAAUUAACCUAACCCCACUAACUGAAUGUUUUUGGACUGAGGGAGGAAGCCAAAGAACCUGCAGAGACCCACACAAACACAAGGAGAACAUGCAAAUGUCAAAAUCAGCAAUAUUAAUAUAAAUAUUUUAAUAUAUCUUAUGUUGCCAGUAACUUUACUGUUAUUUCCUUUCUUGUUUGUUGGAUCCAGUUCUUGUUCUCAUGGCAGCGAUCUGGUUUCUUAUUAAACUUUUGUUCUCUUGUGUGUUUCUCACGUGGUUCUGUGGGUUUCACUGAGUUGUCAAGUGAAAAAUGUGAACAGUUCCGGUUUGGUUGUGGCUAACCGAUGCACUCUGUCAGUACAGUCAGUUUGAAGAUAUGAACUUGAACAUCGGUGUAUAACCAUAGACAGUUUUUCAUUAUGUUACAUUACAACUGUUUUUCAUCAAAUGAUGUAGAAGAGAACAAACACAGUGCUGUUAGUAGAAAAUCAUUAAUUGACUGUUUAUUAUUAUCGUUAUCAAUUAUUACUGUUAUUAUUUAUAUUAGUAGUAGUAGUAAUAUUGCUACUCGCCCUGGGAAACAUUCAUAGUGUCUGUCUCAAUACUUUCAGAUGAAAACUAAAGGCUUUAGUUUUUGUCUGAUAAAGUAAUAAUUCCUGAACAUGUGACUCAGAGUAAUUACUGGAGCACAUUUCCUGACCCAGCACAGAGCCCCUCCUCUUAAACCUGUCACUGAAGCUUGACGUGGCCGUGCUGAUUGUCUGUUGUCAUCUACUGUUAAAACUAGGUCACACAGCGGGGCAGCUUUUAAAUUUAUAUUUAUAUGUUUAUAAAUGACAUUAAUGCCACUAACUGGAGAGAUUUCAUUUCUCUUCUGACCUGGAAGCAUCUCAGGAUCACUUCACAGUAAAUACAUUUGGACAAAAGCCAAAGUAACAGUCCGUAAAAUCCUAAAAACAAGUGACCUCAUUUCAUUUGUUUGUUCUUAGUUUAAAGCAGCACAAAGUCAGAGACCUGAAACAGCAACAGGAAAUAAAAUGAGAGCAGCACCACAAACACAUAAAAAGACAGACGGCACGAGGUUUAACCAGUGACUUUUCCUCAAUACCAAACAGAAAAUCCCUCUUUGAUUUAGUAUAGAUUAAUUAUUGAAUUACAGGAAAGAAAAAUAGAAUUAAAUAGAUUCCAUGACCCCAAAUUAUUGAUUCAUAAUGAUAACAAUAAUUAUAAUAACAAUAAUAGUAGUAGUAUUAAACUUCUCAGAUCAGACAUUUAACCUGAUCACAAAGGCAAAACACUCUGACGCUCACAGUGUUUAUUUAAUCCCAUCAUGAAAACAUACUUAAGUGAAGAUAGUUUUUAUCCACAGUUAAUUAGAAAUAAAAAUAAUGCCAUCUUAUCAGGAAGUGCACAUCCUCAUCUACAGUCAAACAUAGUCAAACAUCUCCCUCUAGUGGCCAUAAAUAAACAAUGCACAUUUACGCCACUAAUUCAUCAGGACAGCUCAAGACUCAACACUGUACAGAAAAAUACUGCCGACAUUCUACUGCGUGUCUUUCAUAUUAAAAGCUCAUUGCGAAUGAAUGUAAGGCUUUAAUGUGAAAAUAUCAGAGCAAGUUUGAACAACCUUACCAAUAUAAACACUGAAAAUAAACAUA